CAGAGGGAAAAGUUUUUCUUGAAAACCCUGUAAAAAGAUGACAUCUUCCACACACGCAGACCUACUGGAUUCUGGGAAACUCCUGGAAAUGGGCAUUUCUGAAUCUCAUGGGUGUUCCCUACAUGGUUUGUCACUUUUCCUCCUCAAACCUCAAGAUGGAGAGUCAGGAAAGACACCCACCACAGGCUGCAGAUUCCUACGGUUUUGCUGUCUGUGUUUGCACGCGUAGCUCAGUGUGGGUCCCUGGCUGGCUUACACACGUCAGCACACAUGUAAACUAUGGCUGAGAAUAUAUUGCUGGGGAAAUGGCACUUUUCAUUAUAAUUUUUUUCACAAACCCAUAUAAUACUCGCCAUCAAGGAGACUGAUGACACCAUCUGGGCUUGAGUCACGUUCCCCCUGCCCCCUCUUCCAGCUCUCAGGUCUGAGCAGAUGACCUUGCUACAUAUUUCAGAAGCUGUAAGUGAUGU